rnacentral:rRNA from 1 species
AGAGUUUGAUCAUGGCUCAGGAUGAACGCUGGCGGCGUGCCUAAUACAUGCAAGUCGGACGAGGUGCUUUUGUAGCAAUACGAGAGUAUCCUAGUGGCGAACGGGUGAGUAACGCGUUGGUGACCUACCCCAAAGUGUGGGAUAACAGUCCGAAAGGAUUGCUAAUACCGCAUGUGGUUAUCGGGUUUAGAAACUGAUAACUAAAGGAGCAAUUCGCUUUGGGAGGGACCUGCGUCCCAUCAGCUAGUUGGUGAGGUAAUGGCUCACCAAGGCGACGACGGGUAGGGGACCUGAGAGGGUGACCCCCCACAAUGGAACUGAAACACGGUCCAUACACCUACGGGUGGCAGCAGUAGGGAAUAUUGCACAAUGGGCGAAAGCCUGAUGCAGCAACGCCGCGUGCACGAUGAAGGCCUUCGGGUCGUAAAGUGCUUUUCAGGGAGAUGAGAAAGGACAGUAUCCCAGGAAUAAGUCUCGGCUAACUACGUGCCAGCAGCCGCGGUAAAACGUAGGAGGCGAGCGUUAUCCGGAUUCACUGGGCGUAAAGCGCGUGCAGGUGGCUUGGUAAGUUAGGCGUGAAAUCUCCCGGCUCAACUGGGAGAGGUCGUCUAAUACUACCGGGCUAGAGAGCAGAAGAGGAAGAUGGAAUUCCCGGUGUAGUGGUGAAAUGCGUAGAUAUCGGGAGGAACACCAGUGGCGAAGGCGAUCUUCUGGUCUGUUUCUGACACUCAGACGCGACAGCUAGGGUAGUAAACGGGAUUAGAGACCCCGGUAAUCCUAGCCGUAAACGAUGUGAACUUGGCGUUGGUGAGUUAAACUCCAUCAGUGCCGCAGCAAACGCGAUAAGUUCACCGCCUGGGGACUACGGCCGCAAGGUUAAAACUCAAAGGAAUUGACGG